rnacentral:rRNA from 1 species
CCUACGGGAGGCUGCAGUCGAGAAUCAUUCACAAUGGGGGAAACCCUGAUGGUGCGACGCCGCGUGGGGGAAUGAAGGUCUUCGGAUUGUAAACCCCUGUCAUGUGGGAGCAAAUUAAAAAGAUAGUACCACAAGAGGAAGAGACGGCUAACUCUGUGCCAGCAGCCGCGGUAAUACAGAGGUCUCAAGCGUUGUUCGGAAUCACUGGGCGUAAGGCGUGCGUAGGCUGUUUCGUAAGUCGUGUGUGAAAGGCGCGGGCUCAACCCGCGGACGGCACAUGAUACUGCGAGACUAGAGUAAUGGAGGGGGAACCGGAAUUCGCGGUGUAGCAGUGAAAUGCGUAGAUAGCGAGAGGAACACUCGUGGCGAAGGCGGGUUCCUGGACAUUAACUGACGCUGAGGCACGAAGGCCAGGGGAGCGAAAGGGAUUAGAUACCCCUGUAGUC